UUACCGAAAUGAAAAUGCCGUCGGCAUACAUAUGUGCAAAUGGGAUAUGUUGCCUCUUCGAAAUUUUCAUAGAAAUGAAAACUGCGCUGUCAAACUGCUGAAGUGACAGCUUAUAGCUUACGAUAUAUGGCAUACGAAUUAGUUUGCGAUAUAUUGUAAGAUAUAAGCAAUGUGGAGUCUCCACAGGCAAUAGGCACGGCAAUACAGUUCGCAAGACAUAGAUUUUAUCCUGUCGAGAUGCCCCGUAAUCGAUGACGAUAAACGAUCAAAAAUAAUGUAUUUGAUGCAUUUUGUAAUUUAAUGAUUCCUGUUAGUAUUUUGGGAUUGUGUUACAACAUUUAGUGAAAUAAAAUUGAAAAAUAGGUUGAAAUAGUAAAAAUUAUUAUUAUCAUUUCAUAUGUGUAUGCAGCACUGCUUUCACGUACUUGAAAUAUUCACCACUUUGUUUAUGCUACAAAUGUCAAUCGCCACUCUUUUAUGUCAAUAAAACAAAAACCAGUUAUUAUUGUGCUUCAAUUAAAAACGAAAGACAACAACAAUGACGAUGACUCCAAAGACACCAGGAUCACGAUAAUUGAAAUCAUGUCGCAAAUUACGGGUUUUCUUGAAAGCAUACGCGAAUAUAUUGGAGACAAAUAUGUAUACUGGCAUUAUUUUUAAUGUAAUCGGUGUGAUGCUUAAUUCAUAUUUGAGCAAAUACACGGGAAAUUGAUGGAGAGCUUACCAUGGGAAA